rnacentral:ncRNA from 1 species
CGUCGUGAGGCGGAAUCCGAAGGAAGCCGGAUUUGAAGGAUGAAAAGUUCCUUCAAGGGCAAAACUCUGGCCCGACGAACAGAAAUCAUGUCAGGCCGUGUACGAGGGUGAGACUGCUAAACAAGUCAAAGCCCAAAAGCUGCACGGAAUCGUACGCGGUAAACAUGGCGGGCAGAAGAGCGAAAGAAUGU